AGAAAUAAUUUACUAUACAGACAUACAUCUUUAUAAUAUUUGUUCUAACUGUGAUAAAAAGAGAGAUUGUGGACUAUCGAUUUCCUACAUAAUUAUGAACGGGUCUUACUAUUUUGAUCUGUACAAGUGUGAACUCACUUAGAUUAUAAAACAUAAUCCAAACUCACUUAGAUUGUGCCAAACCCUAUUUUCUUUUUAAAAGUUGGGGAGUAAAAGCUAUGAAUGUAUUUCUGAAUCAAUCUUUUCUAAGUUACAUAGCAUUUGGUUUGAGGGUAAUGUGACUUCUAUAUUUUGGUUACAUUAACCUGUAUCAUUUAUGGCUAUGUAGAUACAUACAUGCUGUCCGGAAGAGUAGGACUUUGGUAUAACAAACUGUUUAUUCUCAUAUUAAGAUUUGGAGGUUGAAUUGAAUUAAUAUUGGGGGCUGUCCAUUUUAAUUUGAGUGCACAUUAUGUGUUAACAUGAUGGGUCUGUUAAAAUCUCUCCCCCUACUUCCCAAUAAUCUUCCCCCCCCCAAACUAGAAAUGCAAUUCAUACUAACUCAAAUAAACUGGGUAUUGUUAAUUAAUGUUUGCUAAGCGUGAAUAAUGAAACUUAUGAUUGAUAUGCUUCUGUAGGUUGUCUGGUACCUAGAAACAAGGAUGGCAUGGCAUCUAAAAACGCAUGUGUGAAGAGAAUAUUAGACCUGUUAAUACUUUAAAGUUAGAAAAUUCAGCUUUUGGGAAAUGCUACUUUAAAGUUAGAAAAUUCAGUUAGAAUAUUAGACCUGCUACUAGAUUAUGGUGCUUUCUCUACCAGUUAUUAUGUUCUCUCUAGGAUAAGUAAAUCGAAAAAUCAAUGUCUUCAGUUGCUCUGUUACAAUGUAUAUAUAAAAUGACUAUAUUUAAUUUCAUGAGCAAUUGUAGAAAAAACUUAAAGAGCGGGAGAAUGAAGCCAUAGAAGAUGGAUCUGGCCCACUAUCUGAUGAGCAGCUUUCCAUUGAGGUGUUUGGGCGUUAGUCUGGCUACAUAAGUGGUUUAGGACGUGGUCCUAAACCUAGUACAACAGCAUCUAGUUGACGUACUCGUGCUGCUCUUGAGAUAGAAAAUGAGGAAAUUAGAAAGGAGCUUGAAGAGCAACGAAGAAUCAAUGAGGAACUGAAUGCAAGAGUGCACAACUUGGAGUCUAAUAGCGUAGAGGUCAAUGCCAAGAUUGAUUUGGUGCUGCAACAGAUUAGUCGGGGAGGUUUUACUUCUGAUUUACGAUUAUAGGAUGUCCAAAGGGUGUCACACCUAAGUACAGCUUGAAGCCUCUUGUGCCAAGCCUGUCUGAUAUAAAGCCUGAUAUUGAUGUUGAGAAAAUGCUUUUUUAGAUAUUUUCUUUGAAGAAACUAUUGUUGCUAUUCUUCAUUUGAACUGUUACUACUUUGAUUUGAAUUUGGAAACUUUCAGUUUUAAUUUUUGUCAAAUUUACUUUCUAUAUACUCAUUAUGGUUUGGGAAUAGAGUGGGUUUGAUAUGUGAAUGUCAA